AUGCCAUGAUGAGGGCAUUUCCUUAGUAACUCCUUGAACUGGUCUCGUGCUUUAUAUAAAGCUCCUCAUCUAGUUUUUGGAAGGAAGUGAUAUCACUUCGAAGCUU